CCCGUGCAGGUGAUCCUGGGGAGGCCGGAGAACGCGCCGGGGGUGCCAGGGUCCCGCACACUGGAGUGGCGGCGCCUCCCCGUGGUGUCCCCGCUCCUGGGUCCUUUUUGGGACUGGCUCUGGCACUCCCGGGCACUCAGUCCAGUAGAGAAGUCCAGCAGGAGGCUUCCAGGUCGGACUCCUCCGCGGGGUAAAGAGAGGGAAAGGGCCUCACAAACACACCCAGGAGCAUCUGGCGAUGGAGGAUGAGAAGACAAGAGAAUGACGGGGGCAGGGUCAGGGGUCUAAUCUCCUUGCGAGCCACCUGAUCUCCCCGGGCCUCUGUUUUCUCAUCUGUGAAAUGACGGGUUGGACGGCCUUGUCUCUGAGGCCUCAUCCAGUUCCACGUACAGGAAGAUAUAAAUGCAAAUGUGCAAAAAAAGGAAGAAGGAAAGAUGGACCAAGUUCACCUGUUUGGUACGUACAGGGUCCACAGCUCUGCAGAAAGGGGAGAAACCUGGUAGACAGAGGGCCUGACGCACCAUAGCAUUGAGCACAUUUUCCACUGCUUAAUUAUGUGUGAGAUUUUCCCUUUUAAAAUAAAUCUAUGGUCUGUGAAAUAGUCUGUAUAAAAAUAUGAAGCCUUGAAUAGGCCAGUCAUAGCAGUUCCGUCUUGAAUAGAACUCAAUUUUACAAGCACGGAGUGAGAGUAUCAUUCCACUGCAAACUCUUUUAUUUCCACAACAUAUUAGAUCUCAUUCUGCUUUAGUAGAGUUACCUCUUAAGUACGACUAUUAGUCAUUUCAUUAAUAUGAAAAUCUGGGAAGGCCCACAUAAAAUACCAACAUAAUUGCUGGCUACCAAGAUAAAAUUAUUUAGGCAGAUUCCAGCCCCAAUGGUUCAAUGAUAACAAAACUACAAAACAUGGGACAUCAAAUUCAUUAAUAAAAUUAUUAAGUCACCUCUUCCAUCGAAUGAUGAGAUUUUUCUUAUUCACUGUUUCCCAUCAGGGAAAAAAGAAUCCUCCCACCUCAUGCCUUUUUUUUUUUCUGAUGCCAGGAAUUAGUAUUCAUUGCCUCUUUAAGAGGCCAAUGCAAAAAAAGGUAGAAAAAGCCCUAGCCCAGGAGUUGGGAUUGCCAGUUGUAGUCCCUGGGUUGCCUUGCUGGGGGUGCCUAAGUCAGUGCCAUAACCUCAGUUUUUCUAAUCUGUGUAACAUGGGGAUAGAGUAUAUGAUUUCCAAGGUCACUUUCACCUCUGUGAUUGAGCCUCUAAGAAAGCCAAAUCUUUUCACUUUGUAAUCAUGACAUUUUUAAAAGAUGGAGUUAAUAUGAAUGGGAAACUUUUUUUUUUUUGAGCCAGGGACUUGCUAUGUUGCCCAGGCUGGUCUUGAACUCCUGAACUCAAGUGAUCCUCUCACCUCAGCCUCUCAAAUAGCUGAGACUACAGGCACACACCACUGCACCUGGCUAAAGACUAUAUUCUUAAAGAAUAAAAGUACUGCACUUCACCUCUAUCUCCUGGUAUCUCUUCAAUUCAAACACACCAUUAAUGACUACAAUAUUUUAUUUAAGGCCGGGCGCAUGGUAGUUGGCUACAACUGGAACAGUUUAUCACCUCAGGGUAUUUGAGGGCAAGGAAGAUACAGAAAAAAAAAAAAUUAGGGGUAUGCAACACAGUUUAAGUGCUCAGAAAUAAAUUUUACCACAGUGAGAACGAAACCACAAUGACAUGUUACUAACACUGUGCAGACGUCAUGGUUGAAUGCCUGCGUUCUGUUCCUUCCUGGUGGCAGCCGCCUUGGUUCAUUAGUUCUCAUGUUUGCAG
rnacentral:lncRNA from 10 species